AAAUAGUAUAAAAAGAGACUAUUAUGGAAAUAUAAAGCCAUGUGUUAAAGAGAAAUUUUUUAUCUUAUGGAAACAUAUAAACUCUAAGAUAAAUUACUUGAUAAACGAAGCGAAUUGAAAUAUCUAAGUAGCUUCAGGAAAAGAAAUCAAAAGAGAUUUUAUGAAUAGUGUGAACGAAAAUAAAAUAGCCUAUUAAUAAGUAAAAUGGUAGAAAAACUGUUUGAAUAUAUUCAUUUGGUUGGGCGUUCCGCAAGGUUGACGUUUUGGUUAAAUGAAUGUGGGGAACCUUCCUCAAAGGCUAAAUAUAACACAUGAGCAUCAGAGAAUAAGUACCGUAAGGGAAUUAUUGAAAUAGUAGUUUUAUAAGCAGCUCGAGUUGUAUUUUAAAACAAGAGCGUACCUUUUGCAUAAUGGGUCACCAAGUUAACAUUAGAUGCGAGCUAAUUAGUAUUGCGUAGUUAAAACGAUCAUAAUGUAACAGAAAAUGAUAAGUGUCUAAAGUUAGACCCGAAGCCUAGUGAUCUUACUAUAGUCAGGGCUAUAAAGGCUCGAACGGGUUAUUGUUGCAAAAAUAUCCGAUGAACUGUGGUAAGCAUAGUGAAAGACAAUUCUGACUAGGAUAGCUGGUUUUCUGCGAAACCUAUAAUAGUAGGCAAUUUAAGUAACAUCAAAGCAGGUACAGAACUUAAUCUCAGACCAGAUGUAAAUUUUCAGCAAGAGUAUUACUUCUGUUCAGGAAGAAGUACUCUUUGAAAAUACAUUAUUCAAUGGUACAUAUCGGGGGAUCGUGAAGAUUUUAUCGGUGAGUAUGUAGACUCGGAAUGGCUUAGAUGGAUCUUGAAUGAUCAGACAUAGAAUGAUAAGGUUGAAUGCAGCCUUUUUGUAGAAGUGAACCUUCUGCUUGUUUGGGCGCACCUGAUAGAUUAAUCU
rnacentral:ncRNA from 1 species